rnacentral:rRNA from 1 species
UUGGGCGAACCUGCCCUGUACUGUGGAAUAAUCAUUGGAAACGAAUGACUAAUACCGCAUGUGGUCCUCGGAAGGCAUCUUCUGAGGAAGAAAGGAUUUAUUCGGUACAGGAUGGGCCCGCAUCUGAUUAGCUAGUUGGUGAGAUAACAGCCCACCAAGGCGACGAUCAGUAGCCGACCUGAGAGGGUGAUCGGCCACAUUGGGACUGAGACACGGCCCAA